CCCGGCCGGCUGCAGGGGAUCAGACUGAGGCUGGAGCUGGGGCUCUGGAGCUGGGCUGAGGCUCGGCUGUGAGGGGACAGGCUGUGGGAAAUAAGAAAGAUCCACCAGACGGGAGUUUAUUCUCCUCUUCCUUGACAGAGAUGUGGAUCAAAGCGGGGAGAGCUGCAACAUUUCGCAUCCCGACCAGACAUUUCCCAUCUUCAGUGAAGUUCGGCAGUGAGAUGGGUUUUGACUUCAGCCUCAGGCGCAAGAAAAUGUGGCCAACAAGUGAAAUCACGGACAGGCAGACCGGCUAUCGUAGCAGCAUCAAGUAGCAGAUUUUCCCUCUCGGGAUUUCAGACGGAGGCUACCUGACAUGCUGCUGGAUCCCUGAUGGGAGGAUGUGCUGCAGAGCAGGUGAGAAACAUUAACAGGGCAGCAGGUCCUCUGCUCCGCACAUGUGAGCCAGGAUAUGAGCUAGCAGGCUGUCAAUACUGGUCACUGUUGGUAGCACUCUCCUCUCUGAAGCACACAAACAGUUCUUAUAACACCGAGGAAUGUGUGCAGGUUGUUGUACGAAACAAACCGGUUUGGUUUGGUAUGUUUUGAGCAGUAAAGCUUAAGAACAGUGUUUCCAAUCCUUUUGGCGUGUGACCCCUUUAAAUCUAAGUAUUUGCUAAUCGCAACCCCAAGCCACAGGUUGCACGUGAGAUGUAUAAAUUGCAAGCAGUUCAACCAAAGAGGGAUUUUUCAAUCGCAGAUUAUUUAUUAUAAUAUUUUUUUGAUAAGAUCUGAAGUGGAUAAAACUUUAUAUUACUUUGCAUGUUUUCAAUGUCACAGUACCCUCCAAGUGAUUUGCUGGGCUCAUUUGAAUAUGGAAAUAUCCCACCCAUACAAUUUGUUUGGAUCAUAUGCACCUUGUUGCAUAAUUUGAAUUCCCCUUAAGCUGCAGCCCUGAACCGGAUGACCCGGUCGUCACACUGUGUUCUGAACACACAGACUGCAUUCACAGCGGUGAGGAAAGGCCAUGAGUGUUUGUGUUUCAGUGAAUCAUAACCGCUGUUUUGCAUUCAUCGAGGUGUGGCCAAGCGGGGACCUGCCAUGACUUUGUUGUUAAAGACUGUCCUUUGGGGUGAGGUAGUAGGUUGUAUAGUUUUAGGGUCAUACCCUUCCUGUCAGAUAACUAUACAACUUACUGUCUUUCCUGAAGUGGCUGUAAUGUCAUCAGAUGCCAUUGUUGGAGCCUUUGAACCUGGAUCCACCCUGGUAUGAGCAUGUGGACCCGCUGACUGCUGAACACAGAAUUCCAAUACAGUAUUUAAAAGUGGUAGCUCAUUAAGGAUUGUAGUUCAUGUUUUCUCAAGACAUUAUGGCAAAUGAAAUGUGCUUUUUUCAGAAGUUAUGGUUGUCUGUGUGCAAAUAAACAAUGCAAAAAUAAAUAUGUAUUUACAUUUUCUCACACUGUAGUGUUGUAACUUUUACACAAACCUGCUCUUAUCUAGGUGUCUUCCUCUUUCCCCGAGAAUGUAUCCCUCAUGUAAAGUUUUAAAAAUGAAAACUCAACUUGGUCAUUGCCUCUCAUUGUAAGUUGCUUUAUAUAUCAAGUGUGUGAGAUGUACCUGGAUUUUUGUAUGUACUAAAAGAAAAUGUACAGUGUUUCCAUGUGCCUCCACAUCAUGGCUCUCCAGUGGAAGUUGGACCAACACUUGGCAGUCUGCGGCACCGUUCUGAUGUUCGAACAGGGUGAGGUAGUAGGUUGUGUGGUUUCAGGGUAGUGAUUUUGCCCAAUAAGGAGAUAACUGUACAACCUACCGCCUUCCCUGAAGGGCAGCAAUACUUCACCAUACAGUCUACAGAGAGAGGCUUGUUCACAGCUGCAGAAAAACACUGACCCAGCAGUCAAGCAGGAAUGGUGAGCAGGUAAAGUCUGAUCUCUAUGACAUUUGUAUUUGUGUUGUUUUUUGCUGCUUCAAAUAUUAAUAAAGCAUAACAUGAAGUA